UACGAAGGGGGCUAGCGUUGUUCGGAAUUACUGGGCGUAAAGCGCACGUAGGCGGAUACUUAAGUCAGGGGUGAAAUCCCGGGGCUCAACCCCGGAACUGCCUUUGAUACUGGUGGUCUAGAGUCCGGAAGAGGUGAGUGGAAUUCCGAGUGUAGAGGUGAAAUUCGUAGAUAUUCGGAGGAACACCAGUGGCGAAGGCGGCUCACUGGUCCGGUACUGACGCUGAGGUGCGAAAGCGUGGGGAGCAAACAGG
rnacentral:rRNA from 1 species